rnacentral:rRNA from 1 species
UACGGGGGGGAGCAAGCGUUGUUCGGAUUUACUGGGCGUAAAGGGCGCGUAGGCGGCCACCGCAAGUCGAUUGUGAAAUCUCCGGGCUUAACCCGGAAAGGUCAACCGAUACUGCGGGGCUAGAGUGCAGAAGGGGCAACUGGAAUUCUCGGUGUAGCGGUGAAAUGCGUAGAUAUCGAGAGGAACACCUGCGGCGAAGGCGGGUUGCUGGGCUGACACUGACGCUGAUGCGCGAAAGCCAGGGGAGCGAACGGG